ACUCCUACGGGAGGCAGCAGUGGGGAAUAUUGCACAAUGGGCGCAAGCCUGAUGCAGCCAUGCCGCGUGUAUGAAGAAGGCCUUCGGGUUGUAAAGUACUUUCAGCAGUGAGGAAGGUGGAUAUGUUAUAGCAUGCAUUCAUUUGACGUUAGCUGCAGAAGAAGCACCGGCUAACUCCGUGCCAGCAGCCGCGGUAAUACGGAGGGUGCGAGCGUUAAUCGGAAUUACUGGGCGUAAAGCGCAUGCAGGUGGUUUGUUAAGUCAGAUGUGAAAGCCCGGGGCUCAACCUCGGAAUUGCAUUGAACUUGGACAACGUAGAGUAC
rnacentral:rRNA from 1 species